UAUAUUGCAUGUAUUUGUUCUGAUAAAUAUUUUACAUAUAUAGUGAAAAUUAUGUAGUCCAUUUUAGAGAAGUCUGUUUACAUCGUAGCCAUAUAUUAGAUCUCUUAUUUUUUAAGAGGUGGCAUUUCUAGGCAACAGUGAUAUGUUGAGUCUUUCUUGACAUCCUAAUGUUUCUGAAGAGCUAAUCUAGUUGUAAUAUGUCGUUAUGUGAGCCCUAGUUGGAGUGAAGUUUGUAGACUCUAGGGGUGGACUUCUGUGCUCAGGAACCUCCCACAUUCUCAUGCCCUCAUGACCUCCAGCCACUCAUGCACCACGGCUGUUCUUGGGAACUUGCUCACAGAAGCAGCAUCCAUACUCUUCAGGCCCCCUGAGGCUAUCUUUACCUUCAAGGCAAGUGAAGAUUUUGAACAUAUCAGCAGGAGGAAUUAAACAGCCCUGUACCAAAGGAGCAAGAAUAGGAAUUUUGAAAGGGUUUCAGGUUUAGGGUCUGGGAACAACACGUGAUUGAUGGGCUGAAACAUUUAAAGCCUCUUUUCAUCUAAGUACCAGGCUUCACCAGUCAAUACCUACUGUAGGUUUCAAGGAUACUGAUACUUCUAGAUUCUUAAAAAAAAAAGGAAUAAAGCAUUGCUAGUAGCAAAAGAAAUUGCUGAUACAAAAUGAUAUCUUGAUAAAAACCAAACAAAUGUAAAUGUACCCAGAUUCUGCAACUAGAUCUGCACAGAUAGAUUGAUUCUGGCACCAGUUUUCAAAAACAUGAGUCUGACUAUAGACGCAUAACCGGAGUGGAAAAAUCUAGACUGCAGGUGGAAACACAUGGAUAGCAUUUACAUUAGCUGGAGCCACAUUCAGCUGUAAGUGUUCUAGGCAGAAACUAUGCUGGUUUUUAUAGCUGUAAAAUAUUCAGCUUUGUACAGACACCCUCAGUUCUGACAGAUACUCUGUAAUAAAAUAACUAAUAAUAAAAUGUAUGUUGAAAAAA